rnacentral:rRNA from 1 species
UACAGAGGUCUCAAGCGUUGUUCGGAUUCAUUGGGCGUAAAGGGCGCGUAGGCGGCUUCGCAAGUGGAUGGUGAAAUCCCUCGGCUUAACCGAGGAACUGCCAUCCAAACUGCGUUGCUUGAGGCCGGGAGAGGCGAGUGGAAUUCCCAGUGUAGCGGUGAAAUGCGUAGAUAUUGGGAGGAACACCAGUGGCGAAGGCGGCUCGCUGGACCGGUUCUGACGCUGAUGCGCGAAAGCGUGGGGAGCAAACGGG